rnacentral:rRNA from 1 species
UACGUAGGGUGCAAGCGUUGUUCGGAAUUACUGGGCGUAAAGCGCACGUAGGCGGCUUUGCAAGUUAGAGGUGAAAGCCUGGGGCUCAACUCCAGAACUGCCUUUAAAACUGCAUCGCUUGAAUCCAGGAGAGGUGAGUGGAAUUCCGAGUGUAGAGGUGAAAUUCGUAGAUAUUCGGAAGAACACCAGUGGCGAAGGCGGCUCACUGGACUGGUAUUGACGCUGAGGUGCGAAAGCGUGGGGAGCAAACAGG